rnacentral:rRNA from 1 species
UCAUUGCCUCACACAAGUUGCAGCCAACCCCUUUGCGAACUUUACCACUGUCCCACCCCCCCCAACUCUGGCUCCCUUCGGGGGGCCGGCCCGAGUCUCCUGAUUCCAACCAAGCACGGCGCGGGGACGCCUAACCCGUGUUUGGUUGGAUGCGGUUUUUAGGGACUCGGUGUUUUGGGUUCUUCCAAACAAUCAAGUUUGGAAUAUGGCGCAAUGCAUCCACACUUUCAAAACAUGACUGAGUAUGGUACCAAGGAGAAUCUCGGGCGGGGCACCACCCACCCGGGAGUUCGAGUUGUGUCUAAAAAACAGAAACAACUCUCAGCAACGGAUAUCUUGGCUCCUGCAACGAUGAAGAACGCAGCGAAAUGCGAUACGUAGUGUGAAUUGCAGAAUUCCGCGAAUCAUCGAGUCUUUGAACGCAACUUGCGCCCGAGGCUUUAGGGCCUCGGACAUUUCUGUCAGAGCGUCACCGCGACACCCACCGACCCCCCCACUCCUUGGCCGGAGUGAGUGCGGGUCGAGUGAAACUGGCCGUCCCAGUGAGAACUGCUGCUGCUGCUGCUCCUCCGAGUGGUGGUGGCGGUGGUGACUGGGUUGGCUGAAAUGGAUGGAAUUUGGCCCCGCCGCGGCGACACAGCCCGCGAUCAGGUGAUCCCCCAAAGGAAAACGAGUUGGCUGUGUUGUCCCCUCCCCAAAAGGAGUUGGUGGUGUACCAAAGCAAAGCAAAGCAGGCAGGCCCCUUUCAAUUCAGGUGGUGCGCCCCCCAAGUACAAGUACUUGUACUUGUACUUGGGGGGCGAGAGUCGGAAAAGGAGGUGGUCGUCACGCAU